rnacentral:lncRNA from 1 species
UUCAAUUACACAUCAAACAAAGCACGAAACAUUCAAAAAAUAAUCUACGAAGCAAGCACAUCCAAAACAUCAAUGAAGCCGAUGGUCGGCAUUGAUAAGAGAACGCGCAAGCAUUUAAUUACCUUCAAAUCGGACCUCUUCACAUCAGAGGCGUAAUUUGAACUUCUGAAGGCGAUAGGGUUUGAUUGUGUUGAAUCCUUGCAAGGAGGUGGCGAUGGCGGACGCGAGAGUAGGGUUUUGUGACAAUAAACGUGUGGAGGCAGAGAGCG